AUGGAAGAGGAGGCUCGCCAGCGCGAGCUCCAUGACGGCGAGCCCGAACGUGAUCCCGGGGCAAAUCCUCCGCCCCGCCCCGAACGGCACGAGCUCGAAGUCCGCACCCCGGAAGUCCACCGCCGCCGCGGCCCCCUCCUCGAACCUCUCCGGCCGGAACUCCUCGGCGUCCGGACCCCAGCUCGCCUCGUCCCGGCCGAUGGCCCACACGUUGACCAGCACCAUGGCGCCCUGCGGCACGUCGUACCCGAGGACACGGCGGGGCUCGCGGCACUCCCGCGGGAGGAGCAGCGGCGCCACCGCGUGCAGCCGGAGCGUCUCCUUGAUCACCCUCCGCAAGUACGGCAGCUCCUGCAUGGACUCCUCCCCGACACGGCUCUGCCCGGCGAGCGCGCCGCGCACCUCCGCCUGCGCCCUCCGGAGCGCCGCCGGGUUCCGCAACAGCUCCGCCAUGGCCCACUGCAGCGUCGACGCGGAGGUCUCGCUGCCGGCCCCUAUGAGAUCCCUUAUCACGGCACGGAUGGUCGGGAUGUCCAGAGGCGCGCCGCCGCCGCCGUCCAGAAGCACGUCAAGGAUGUCCUCUUCUUCCUCGCCGCCGACGCCCGCCGCCUUCCUCGCGCGUUUCUCCUUGAUGACGGCGUCCAUGAGCCGGGACAUCUCUCCGAACACCGCCUCCACCCGGCGCGCCGUCCCGCUGAGCGCACGCGCGAGGCGCGACGACGGGAACAGGUCGGCAAGGCUGAACCCGGCGGCCACCCUGACAGCCUCGUCCAGGCACGCCAGGAAGGCGUCGCGGUCCGCGAUCCGGUCUCCGACCACGGCGCGCACCGCGGCGUCGGCGACGUACGUGGCGACGAGGGAGCUGACGUUCACAGCGGCUCCGGACGCCGCCUCCGCGGCCACGGACGCGACGAGGACGGCGGCCUCGGCCUCGCGAGUCCCCCGGAACGUCCGCACCCGUGGCGCGCCGAGCAGCUCCGUGGCGCAGAGCUUGCGGACGGCGCGCCAGUGCUCGCCAUGCGGCGCGAGGGCGAUACCGAGGCCGUCGGCGGUGAGGCUGGCGGUGGUGUCCGUUCGCGGUCGCGUGGCGAAGGCGGCGUCGUGGGUCUUCAUCACCUCCUUGGCCGCGGCCGCCGACGAGGCCACCACGACGGGGAGCUCGCCCAUGCGGAGCAGCAUGAGCGGGCCGUGCCGGAGGGCGAGGUCGCGCAUGGCGUGGUGCGGGAGCGCGCCGACGAGGUGGUGCAGGCUGCCGAUCACCGGCAGCUGCCAUGGACCCGGAGGCGGGUUCAGAGGCAUGCCAACGUGCUUGCGAUUGCGACGUGGCCUGAGCUGAGCUUGACGAGGAGGAGGAGAAGAGGGAGCAGUAGGAUGGCGGCGGCAAGAGGAGGCGGCGAUGGUUCUCGGUGGGUGCCAUGGCCUGGGCCAACCAAACCUAGUUUAUGUAGGAGCAAGAGCAACCGAGCAAGUAGCUGCUCCCAAAAUGGUAGGUGGUGGAUGCCAUUUGGAGCAGCUAGCAGAGAUGCUUGCUAG
rnacentral:rRNA from 1 species